AGCUCUGGGAGGCCCGAUGUCGGCUUCCUGGUACCUGAAGGCUGCCUAACUUUCCCAGGUGGAACAAGACUCCGGAUGCCCAAUGACUCGUCCAGCAAAAACGAGUCACCGUAUUCUCAAAAAUCACACUCGGGUUAAGAUUUCAGAUGACACAGAAGUCCGACAGAGAAAAGAGCUUUUGAAAAAGGUAACGCUUUUGCUUGAACAAACCUGUAUUAGGUAGGAAAUACUUAGAUGGUGAGAGUUGAAUGACUGGCAAAAGAAAUUAUUCAGGUCUUUUUAAUUGCAAGAGCCGAAAUCUAUUUUGCCAUCAAAAGUUAAUUGCUGAACAAAGUUUGCAUUGUUCAGGAUUGGGUGGGUACAUUUUCUUCCUUAUGCUCAGUUUUAUUCUCUCUUUCUUUUUAUAUCCCUUUUCCCGUAACCGAAAACGGUGCAGAAUGACAACCUUGUAAAUCCAUUGCACAGUAUAAAUUUUAUUAAGUUAUUCUGUGGUCUUUUGGGAGCUGUUUAUGAAAUUACACAACUGAGUGUUAUCUACUGAAAAUUUACAGCUUGUCCAGGAAAUGUACACCAUGCGUUUUUAAUACAGAGGAGAAGUUUUAUUUAUUUUAAACGUUAAAAGGCUGUAGCUUCUGCUCACUCAGUUUGAUUUU